rnacentral:misc_RNA from 1 species
UUAUUGUAGGAAUUGUAGGUUGGGUUGGAAUUUUAUAAUAUAAUAGUCAUGAAUCGUCUGUCCUCAUAAGUUUUGAAGAUAUAAAUCAAUUAUAAUUCAUACUUGUUUGAAAACAAGUCCUACUGCUGUCCACAUGCUACAAAUAGUGCCACUGUGUUUACAAAUAGUUUACGAUGGAGUCAUCAGCAUUACAGGGCACUGAAAGUAUUACCGUGAAGACUGAGCCCGGUGAGGAUGCGUGUAUGACGGAUUUAUCAACGAUCGCAGUGUCUGUGAAAGUGGAGCAUUUGCUGGACGAUGUGUGCGUCAAGGACGAACCUAGACCCGAUGGUGUGUGUAUAAACAGUGAGCCAUCGAGCUCAGAAGUGAGUGUAAAAGAGGAGUCAGCCAGCGCGCGCGUGGCGGCGGAGCUGUACGCCGGCCACGCGGUGAAGGACGAGCUCGUGCUCGGCCCCGAGCUAGUGGAGCGCCGCCCCGUGCGACACGCAUCAGCGGCGUCAAAUGGGGCGAUCAAACAGCAGCAGUUGAGUGAGAUUGUCCCCAGGGGACCCUUCCUAAGAGACUGCAGUGUGCGGUUGAAUCGUCUUGACAUGGACAAGCUUCUCACGCACAUUCGGAGUACAGACCGGGACAACGAGUCAGGGCAAACUCCACAGAAGAUAUCAAGUGGCGGACCCGAAACCUACAGAUGUGCACACUGUAAAUAUACAACGGUUCAGAAACUACGCUUAAUUAGGCAUUUGAGUAAACACACCAGUGAGAGGCCGCACAGGUGUGACCCGUGUAACUAUACUUGCAGCUCAAAGAGUUGUCUGACAAUUCAUUAUAAGAAACACACCGAUGAAAAGCCAUAUAAAUGUAACCAGUGCAACUACGCUAGUAGCCGGAAAAAUCAGUUGCUUAGUCAUGUAAGGACACACACUGGGGAAAAGCCAUAUAAAUGCAAGCAGUGUAACUACGCGAGUAGCCACAAACAUCAUUUGCAACGUCAUGUAAGGACACACACUGGGGAAAAGCCAUAUAAAUGUGAUCAGUGUGACUACGCUAGUAGCUAUAAAAUUUCAUUGCUAGUUCAUGUAAGGACACACACUGGGGAAAAGCCAUAUAAAUGCAACCAGUGUAACUACGCUGGCAACUUCAAACAUGAUUUAAAAGUUCAUGUAAGGGCACACACUGGGGAAAAGCCAUAUAAAUGCAACCAGUGCAACUCCAGCAGCCAUAAAAGUUCACUGCGAGUUCAUGUAAGGACACACACUGGGGAAAAGCCAUAUAAAUGCAAGCAGUGUAACUACGCGAGUAUCUGCAAACAUAAUUUGCAAUGUCAUGUAAGGACACACACUGGGGAAAAGCCAUAUAAAUGCAACCAGUGUAACUACGCUGGCAACUACAAACAUGAUUUAAAAGUUCAUGUAAGGGCACACACUGGGGAAAAGCCAUAUAAAUGCAACCAGUGCAACUUCGCCAGCAGCCAUAAAAGUUCACUGCGAGUUCAUAUCUUGAGAUGCCAGUCAUGCUGACCAGUGUGGAAGCAACGAGGACAGCGGUUAGAGAAAGGCUCUAACAGUCAUUCCAUACAUGCAGUGUAGCCACUGCUAACCAAAGAUCUUGAGAUGCCAGUCAUGCUGACCAGUGUGGAAGCAACGAGGACAGCGGUUAGAGAAA